CCAGUUGAUGAAGAAGAGAUGAUCCAACACAUCAUCGCUGGCCUUGGCGAAGGCUACAGCGAGGUGAUUUCUACCGUGUGCGCACGGCCUGAACCGAUGACACUGUGAGUGAUCUAUACUCACAAGUUGUCAACU
rnacentral:snoRNA from 1 species